UACGGAGGGUGCGAGCGUUAUCCGGAAUCACUGGGUUUAAAGGGUGCGUAGGCGGCUCGAUAAGUCAGUUGUGAAAGCCCCUUGCUUAACGAGGGAGGUGCAAUUGAUACUGUCGAGCUUGAAUCGGGAUGAGGCAGGCGGAAUGUGGCAUGUAGCGGUGAAAUGCAUAGAUAUGCCAUAGAACACCGAUUGCGAAGGCAGCCUGCUGGGCCUGUAUUGACGCUGAGGCAGGAAAGCGUGGGGAGCAAACAGG
rnacentral:rRNA from 1 species